rnacentral:lncRNA from 1 species
ACAAAGAACUUAGUAAAGCUGGGCUAGGACCAUGGUCCAGAGCACCUGUGUGCCAAGUGAGUGAAACCACAUGCCAGCCUCAGAGAGGGACCUCAGACCACAGGGACCUGUUUUUCUGUGGAGCUAGCAGCUGGUGCAAGUAUGGGUGUGCAGAGGCCAACAUCUAUCCUGCUCAGCCAGAAAGGAACAGGAUUAGGCCAUUGGUACUGUUUACAUUGAUGUGAGUGCUCUGUCCAUCUGUGCUGUCUGUGUGGCUGGCAAUUUAUACACGGUGUAUACAUUUGCUCUGUCUGUGUGCGCCUGUUGGGAACAAACUCAGCCUCACAAAU